GCGCGAUGAUUUUCUGUGAUUAUCCGGCGGAAUACAACCCGAAGAUCCACGGACUUUACGAUCCUGUCCGUUACUACGACAA
rnacentral:lncRNA from 1 species